rnacentral:tRNA from 1 species
GGGGGUUUAGCUCAGUGAUGGAGUGCUUGCCUAGCAUAUGCAAGGCCCUGGGUUCAAGUCCCAGAACUGUGG